rnacentral:rRNA from 1 species
AUGGCCAAGAUCGGCUGCUUCUGUGCUCUGCUCGGUGGCAAGGGCAAGAAAUUCAAGGACGUGAAGAAGGUUCCGCACGCCAAAAGGGCCAACGGAAGCGACUGGCAGAAGGUGAAGCCGGUGGAGUCCAUGGACGGCACGGUCGCCGCCUCCGUCGACAACAGCGCCCCUGCACCAGCAUGCCGCGACACAAAAGUUGUCGCAGUGACAGCCGCCGAGCUGCCAUGCCAAGGCCGUGACGACGACAAGGCCUCCCCAGCGAGGGACGUCGGCCUCGUCGGAGGCGCAGCCACGGACUCGUCCGGCUACAACAGCGACAAGGAUGCUGCCGGCACCGGCACACCGGACGUCGUGAGCGAGCUGCCGUUGCCGGCGACUCCAGCGAGGCUGGAGCGCUCGUGCUCCAACAUCGAGACGGCGAGGCCUGGCUGGAAGGCGUUCGACCUGCUGCUGCCGCCGGCCAAGUCGCGCUCCCACGGCGACCUCGCGACCUUGCCCGCCGGCGCCGGUAGCUUGUUCGCCAGCCCCAACGGCGGGCCGGGCGGCUCCAGCCCGGCGCCGUCCGUGAGGUCGACGUGCAGCGCGGACCGCGUGAUGCUCAAGAGGAGGUCGUCCAGCCAGGUGCUCCCGUCCCGGAGCCGGAAGCUGUGGUGGCGGCUGUUCAUGUGGAGCCACCGGAACCUGCACCGGCCGGGCGCCGCCACAUCGAGCACCUUGCCACCCGCGGACACACACCACCAAAUGUUCCACUCCCAUCGCCAGCAGCACGACGGGUACACGUCCGACACCUUCGGCACCGCGGCGGACGGCAACUGCAAGAACAAGGAGAUCGCCGCGGUGGAGGAAGAGCCGACGUGCCCGAACCAGUGGGUGGCGUUCUCGGCGGAGGUCUCGUCGUCGCUGGACCGCGUCAGCGCGUGGGUGAGCAGCCUCGGGGACAGCUCGCUGCUGAUCCACGCCGAGGAGCAGGAGGAGGAGGACGACGAGGAAGAGGAGUGGAACGGCAUCACCGAGACCGAGAUCGGCGAGCCGUCGGGUACGACGACGAAGGGCCACGCGCAGGCGCAGACGCGGCAGAAGCGGCGCAGCAGGGCGGCGGAGGAGGCGGUGCAGCAGGCGAGCAGCAUCGUGCAGACGCUCAACGCCUUCUCCUCGGUGGCGCACAUCUCCGGCAUGGGGCUCAAGGCCGUGCCCAUGAUCUCGGCCUUCUCCAGCCUCCGGGCGGUGAACCUCUCCGGCAACUUCAUCGCUCACAUCUCGGCCGGGUCGCUGCCCAAGGGGCUGCACUCGCUGGACCUGUCCCGGAACAGCAUCGCCAGCAUCGAGGGCCUCCGGGAGCUGACGCGGCUGCGCGUGCUCAGCCUCAGCUACAACCGGAUCGCGCGCAUCGGCCACGGCCUGUCGAGCUGCACGGCGCUGAGGGAGCUGUACCUGGCGGGGAACAAGAUCAGCGACGUGGAGGGGCUGCACCGGCUGCUCAAGCUGGCGGUGCUGGACCUGAGCUUCAACAGGGUCACCACCGCCAGGGGGCUCGGCCAGCUCGUCGCCAACUACAACUCGCUCCGGGCGCUCAACCUGCUGGGCAACCCCGUGCAGGCCAACGUCGGCGACGACGCGCUCCGCAAGGCCGUCUCCGGCCUCCUGCCGCUGCUCGCCUACCUCAACAAGCAGGCCCUCAGGCCGCAGCGCGCGCGCGAGGCCGCCAAGGACAGCGUCGCCAAGGCCGCGCUCGGGAACAACCUCUGGAGCUCGCGGCGGCGCGCGGGCUCCACGGCGCGCCGCCUCGGCCACAGCCCCGGCUCGUCGUCGGCCAGGAGGGAGGGGAGCGGCGGCCGGAGCAGGUCCCUGAGCGGGGUUCAGGCACGGAGGUGA